GCCUGGGUGGCUCAGUUGGUUGAGCAUCCGACUUCAGCUCAGGCCGUGAUCUUGCAGCUCGUGGGUUCAAGCCCCGCGUUGGGCU
rfam:Felis catus isolate Cinnamon breed Abyssinian chromosome B4, whole genome shotgun sequence.